rnacentral:rRNA from 1 species
UACGUAGGAUGCGAGCGUUGUCCGGAAUUAUUGGGCGUAAAGGGUAGGUAGGUGGUAAUAAAAGUCUGGGGUGAAAUCCCUGAGCUCAACUCAGGACGUGCCUUGGAAACUUUAUUACUAGAGUGCUGGAGAGGUUCGCAGAAUUCCCGGUGUAGCGGUGAAAUGCGUAGAGAUCGGGAGGAAUACCAGAGGCGAAGGCGGCGAACUGGACAGUAACUGACACUCAACUACGAAAGCGUGGGUAGCAAACAGG